AAACUAUCACAAACCCCGGUUCACCCUGAGAUAGAAUAGAUUUAUUAGCAAGAGGUAAUCAGGAAACAUAUAUUUUUACAAAAAAAAUGGAAAUAUCUUUUUUUUUUCCCAAACAAGCUGUAAGUUGAAAUAGUUUUAGGGCUUGAAAGAGAAUUCCCAUACCACGAGGUAUUGCUUACAGCAAGUGUUGUGUGAGUGGAGCAUGCCUGCCACUGCCGGGGAACCGUGUCAGGGACUGUACAAUGUAAAAAACCCAGGUACUAUUCACAGAAUAAGCACUACAUUACUAUAUCCUGCUAGCAGGUGGUUAGCCAGGAUUACAGUAGAUGUAAUAAAAACACUCGUCAUCUCUAACUCUACGUCAUGGUACUCAGAGUGGGCACAAGGGCACGGAUCUACAGCAUAUCAACAGGAGCCGGAUGCAGCGAGGAGAGGCGAGGGGAUGCUUCCAUCUUCCCAGCUUCGGGGGCACCAGGGCAGCAGCCAGGGCCCCCCGUGCCCGGCCAGCACCAGGGUGGCACACACACAGAGGGCAGCUCACACCGAGGGACAACCUUUAAUGCGCUCCCUUCUCCCACCUUACAGAGUUGGGAUGUAACCGCCAGCACUGCCCGUGUGAGAGCUGCUCUGUGCUGCCCCAGAGCCCCACGGGGACAUGGGGCUCACCUGCCCCACAGGGACUCACCUGGCCCAUGGGGACACAGGACUCACCUGCCCCACGGGGACACAGGGACUCACCUGGCCCAUGGGGACACAGGGCUCACCUGCCCCACAGGGACUCACCUGGCCCAUGGGGACACAGGACUCACCUGCCCCACGGGGACACAGGGACUCACCUGUGCCAUGGUGACACAGGGCUCACCUGCCCCGAGGAGGCAGAGGGCUCACCUGGCCCACAGGGCUCACCUGCCCCACGGGGACUCACCUGCCCGACCACCAGCCCCCCAGGAGGAACAAAUGACAAAAGUAACAUCAUGGAAAAGAGCCCGGGACUCCAGCGAAGUGUCGGCGCGUUAAACCGGGACGGGGCGGGGAAUCCUACGCGAGCGCGGCGGGGCCGGGGCCGGGGCGGGGGAAGCACAGACGGGGGUCGCUCCGGGGCGCCCGUGGAGCGGGGCUAUGUACAGGGGUACAACGAGAGUCCGGCGGCCGCGGCGCUCACGAAGGGA
rnacentral:lncRNA from 1 species